UGUUAAUGGUUUUAGAAAUUUCAUAAAUUUUAUAAAUAUUAGGAAUUUUAGAACAAUACGAAAUUUCAGAGUUUGUUCAGUUAUCAUUUUUUUUAUUUUAAAUGUUUUAGGAAGUAUAGGAUUUUGGAUCUUGUUAUUGAGUAAAUUUGGAUUUUUUUUUAACAAUGAAAAAUGCUGUUCAACAGUGAAAUUUAAUUUAUGUUAAGAAUAAAUUAAAACAAGUCAUUUUACGCAGAAGAAUAUAUUUUAAAGCAAAUUAUUUCACAAUUUUAUUAUUAGCACUCGAUUCAACUCUUCUGGUGGCCCUCGAAUCCCAAGUCCAGCUACGGUCGGCCCCUUUCAGCACGAGGAAGCGAAUGUUGUACAGGCCCACCUUUUCGCGCAUACAAGACGUUUCUUUGACUAUUUAAAGCGGCAGCCUUCUUUUUUUCCAUCUGGUCCUUGGCCUCGAGCAGACGUUUGCGUUUUUUUUUUCGAAGAAUCUGGAAUUCCGAAAGAAACUUCAAAAAUCCUACCAGCGAAGUAAAAAAAUGGGACUCACCUAAACAUGUAUCACUUGUCUCCGAUGCAGUGAUCUAUGGUGAGAGUGUGCUCCAGCAGCCAGCGCGAUCCGCUUGGUACGUAGUCGCCUAUCCGCGCGUUGUUGAUUAAGGCAUGCGCAAAGUUCUCUUCCGCGGCUUCGUCGACCUAGCUGAUGAGGAUGAGGACUCCGCAGAUGCGCGCCUUUGCUCCACCUGGAGCAGACAUUUGAUGAAGGCGCGGCCUUUGCUCCCGCAUUAAUCGCUGCUGCUUGCUUGGUCGUUAUCGGGAGACAUCAAAGCAUCUAAAUCACAAUAGGUGCCGUAAAACGGUGAUGUGCAUGAAGAAAAAGCAGGAAAAUAUUUUAAUGAUAUCUUAUUUUUAACAUAACAGCUUUUCCUUUGCAAAAAAAAACGAACAUCCAGAAGUUCAACCCAAUCUCUUAAUGGCCACGGAACUGGGCAAACAUUUUCGGAAGGCCAAAAAACUUCCUCCCUUUUACGCAAAGAACUCCUUCCGGAUGGUGACAGACUCAGCAAAAAUCAUCCGGAAGGCCAAGAAACAUCAUCCCUCUUGCGCAGGGAAUUCCUUCCGCAUGGUCACAGAACCGGGAAAACCCUUCCGGAAGGUCAUGAAGCAUCGUCACUCUUACGCAGGGAAACCUCCAGAAUGGCCACGGAAUCGACAAACCCCAUCCGGAAGGCCAAAAAUCAUCCUCCUUCUUGCGCAGGGAACUCUUUCCGGAUGCUCACAGAGCCGGCAAAAAUCAUCCGAAAGGUCAAGAAUCAUCAUCCCUCUUGCGCAGGGAACUCCUUCCGGAUGUUCACAGAAUCGGCAAAACCAUCUGGAAGUCCAAGAAGCAUACUCCCCAAACCGAUUCCGUGGUCAUUAAAACCGGAACCAUGAUAAUUAAAAAGAUACUUACCGGAAUUUUGAUAACCGCAAUCCAAUUUGUCCAAUUUUCCACCAUUCACACGCGAACAAAUCGAAAACAACGAACAGCUGAUUUCGAUGUUUACAAACAUCGUUUGUUGGUGUGCGAGAAACUCGCACGAAACUAGAAAAAAAUCGAGUGCGGCACUCGCACUUUCAGUUCCAAGAUGGAGGCAAAACUCGUGCGGCACCAGCGCUAGUUUCUUCAAACAAACACUUUGACAGCUCUGAGUGCGGCACUCAGUGCGGAACUAGCCCUCAAACGAACGUACCAUAAGUCCAAAAGUUACACCUUUUUCAGUUCGGACCCCUGAACUGGCAAAGAUGUAACUUUUACACUUUUUGCAGUUCGCACUUUACACUUUUUUCAGUUCGAGGGUUUAAACUAGUCGGUGUUGUAAAAUCGAACUGCAAAAAGUGUAAUGCCGAUUCUCCGUGUAACAGCAUUCUAGCAGAAGUGUUCCACAAUUCUAAAAGGAUUCUUGCAGAACCAGCCGUGCUAGAAUAUUUCGUGACAGCUAGCAUAAAACUCGCAUAACUGCACGGUUACUGAAAAUCGCACUUUUGGGAGUUCAGAAAUCGCACUUUUGACAGUUCGCUUAAACGAACUCAAAAAAGUGCGAUUUCGCGAACUCGAAAAACUGUGAAAAUCACCAAAAAACGAGUUCAGUUAUGCGAACUCCCAAAAGUGCGAUUUUGGACUUAGCGAAUUUUUUGAAAUUCGUUUGAAACGUUUCUUCCCAAAUGUUUAUUGUUUAGUUGUGUUUUGUGCUCCGGAGUUUAGAGCUGGAUUUCAGAUGGAACCGGUCUAUCUAGACUAAAAUGGACACUGCCCCGCCGUCAGGGUUUCUGGUCCUGCUAGGCUUAAGGUCACUCGAGAGAAAAUGGACGCCGCUUCGACGGAAUCCACGCCAUCCAAGUACGACCAGCAGGGCGCGAGGUAUGAGGAAUUUGCGGAACUUUAUCCGGGACACUGGCGUAGCGGACCGGUUCGAGGAGUUUCCGAUGCUGCGAGAUAUGAUCCUGCGGAUAACAAGUUGAUCUCCAUCAACUUUUGCGAUGUUGACCGCACGAUGACGAGGUAACGGAUGAGAAGAUCAGGACCAUCAGGACGAGACCAUUUCAACUCGAACGUGAUGGUCACGGAUCUCCGUCUUAUGCGCUCGUCGCCGAUUCCACGCCAGUCGAUCUUCCGGUAGUUCGACUCGAAGGUGUCCACCAGCUGGCGAAGAUAACUCAGCUUGGCGACCAGUAACGUGCUGCAGACGUACGUGGCCCGAACGGCGGGUUCGGUCGUUGUCAGCGACACCGGCUGAUGGCGCAUUACGAUUAACUCAAAUAAAAAAUAAAACUGCUUCACUUUCAAUCGGGAACACGGUUCCAGCUUCCCCCUUUGAUGGAGGAUCAGUUUCUCAGUAAACUGGUCUUGAACUUACUUUAUUUUUCUUUUAUGUGAUCCAUGACCUGGCCGCCUUCAAUCCGGUACGACCUGUUCUGGUAUGUAUGAACUAAUCUAGACCUUAUUUUGUUCUUCUUUUAUGCGAUCCACGAUCUGCGACAGUUUCCCCCAGUAUCCUGCGAUAGACCUCGUGCGCGGUCGGCCCUGGCUCGGUACGCUCGUCACCAUUUCAAUUUGCGGUAGAUCUCGUGCGCCGUCGGACAAGAUGAUAGUGUUCGGAGACGGCGAUGUCACAAACUUAAUGGGGCGCUGUCAAAACAGGCCGGGUCGCUGCUGGACCGGGGAAUUCAUCCGAUUCAUAUUGUCGAUGGGUUCGAGCUGGCGGCGCAGUGCGCGAUCAAGCAUUUGAACAAGAGCAUCUUGUAGGAAGUUAAACUGGCGAGGCUUCAUGAUCUGGAUGGUGCCGACGAGAAAACCCCGCAUCACUUCAGAGGAAAGCACUGGCCGCCGCGCUGGAUCCGCUCAGGUUAAAAUUUGGGACGUGACGAUCGGCGAACUGAUGGCGGAAAUUCACCGGAACAACCUCAUGACAUGCAACGCAAGGAAUAUAUGAAAUCUACCUCGAACAGUCACCCACGAGCUUCGCCUUCAAGCUGAAAAAGAAGCUUCAGUUCAACUUCACUCCGAACCAAAGCCAAGAACCGAAAACUGGCAAGUAACCGCCUUCUUUGACUUUGCGGCACAGUACGAGAAAGACUUUACCAGCGAUCCGGCGAACUUAUAGAAACGACUCAGCAAUGGCGGAUUCGGAGCGGAGCUCUGAAACCGUUCUCUCUCGUCCUCCGGUCCAACUCCGUAUUACGAGGCGGCCACUGUGCAGAAGCGACAAAACCACAGCGAAGAAACGUCCCAAAAACCUGGCAGCAGUACAGCUCUUUCUUUCUGGGGAGAGUGCUUUUCACAGCUGAGAUUAUGUUUUUGAAAGCUUAUUUGUGUUUUUUUGUCGAGUUCCUAUACAUAGGAGAUUCUAAACGGCGUGUUGAAUUGAAUUUAUAUGAGAUGUUUCUCCUUGAUGCGCUGAUGCGCGUUCUGAAAUAUGUAUGAACAGUUGAUGUUUUUCAAUACAGUCAGUCAGAACAACUUUAUUUUUCUCAGGGAAAAUAAAAACACCUGGCAGGUUAAAUAGGAGCAUUUAUUCUUCACUUAGCUUCAAAGGUUAAUCACGAUAUAACGCACUUGUAUAUUUACUUUUUUCUAUCCUUUAUUCCUCAUUAAUUACAUUUCCUGAGUGUGUAAAAGGAAACAUGCACAGCGUCACAAAAAAGCCACCAUAAAAAUGUCAGCACUCUCUCUCGCGGCGACCUCCCUUCGGCGAGGCAAAUCGGACGGGAUCGGCAUCACGUCUUCGAUGCGGCCAGGGCUCAGAGUGCCGACUAGGCACCCGGUCCUGGGGUCUUGGAGCGGUUUCCGCCGAUGGCAUGCAGCUUCCGCCGGUGUGCGCGCCGUGGUGAUUCUGAGCGACUUUUCAGCGACGCCCUGAGCGGCCAACGAAGCGGCGUAGAGCGAGAUCUCGUCAUUUCUUGCCGCCGGUGACGGACGAUCCAGUUUUCUUGCCGGAAAGAUCCGUGACGUGGACUAAGGUUUUGUUUAAGCUGGAAUAGAUGUAUGUCUUUCACUUUGAAAAACGAUCUCGCCCUCGCGGACCUACGGUUCGAGCACACAGCAAAACCUGGACAUCCUCCUUUCCGGAUUUUGUUUUUGCCAUCGCAGCUAGAAAUAAGAAUAAUGUUAAACAAAACCUAGUUAAAUUUAAUGUAAUAAACUCACCUUUUUUAUAGACGCGGAUCGAUUUUUCCAACCAUAAACAUAAAAAUACCACGAAAUACUGCCAAACUUUUAUUGCCCUCACUAGAGUUGAGUUAGUGUUUUGAAACAUUUAAGAAAUGUCAAAGUGUGAUGUAACAUUAAAGGCUUACUUUACAGUGAUAUAUAAAGCUUACCAUUAAUGCUUCAAAACAUUAUUGUGUUUAAUGCUUUGAAACUUUAAUUGGCUGUUCUAUAUGUCAUUAUACAGUAGGUAAUAAUGCUUCAAGCUACAAAUGUUUCAAAACAAUUGGAAAGUCUAUUUAAAGUGUCAUAGCAUUGAGAAUGUUUAAUAAUUUAAUUGUUUAAUUGUUUAAUGAAUUUAGAGUUUUGAUUAAAUGCUUGUGGUUACUUGGGUAAUCUCAUCGCGAUCGGGUGCGCCAACGAGCGGCUCGAGUUCUGGGAGGGCACCACCGGCAACUUCAAGGCAAGCUCGUAGAUCUCAAUUCGUGUUGGCAGCUAACUGAGGUGCGUUUGUUUCAGGGCAUCUACGAGACGGAGCACACCCGCAACAACGGGGUCACAAACAUCAAGCUGACCGGGGACAAGGUAGUGGCGGCUCGGCUCAGCGGCUCAGGGGAUUUACGUCCGCGUACCGGCGUACGAACAUUCGCACCAGUUCGGCGGGUAGCUUUAGCAUGUUCCAGCAGUCGAACGGACCGGACCGGCCAACGUUCAUCACGCCUCGGAGGAGGAGCUGCGCUGCAUCUUGGAGUUUCACCAGCAGGGCCACCAGAUGCCGGUGACGUGUCAGGAGGUAGCCGGCAGCAUGGACCAGCUGCAGUUUACGCUGCACGGUCACUGCGGGCCGAUCUCGUGUCGUGGCCCGUUCGAGCCACCGAAGCCCAGCUGGAUGUGACCUCGACCGAGGACUACUGCAAGCUGCCCGAGUACGAGCAGGAAAAGUUCAAGCAGGUCAAGGAUGCCGGAGCAACGCUCGCAAUUUGACAGAGGGAAUUCGACGACUAGGCGAACCAUUUGCUGCUGCAGCAGGAACUGCCGGCCGUUUGCUGUCCCAUUCGGUGGUCCCGAAAACGUACUGAUCCCCAUCGCCACCAGCGGCAGAAUCGUGCCUCGCUUGCUUGGGUUAAACUACACACAGGAAGUGGAACUGGUAACCGGAACUCGCCUGUUGUCGUCAUCGUGCUUCCGGCCUUUGUCACCGAACCUAAAAUUCUAAGCGGAGUCACGAGAUCAGGGUGCAGCAUUAAAAGGAGGCGAUUAACAUUAAUUUGAAAAUCCACACUUUUUUAUAAAUGUCUGAGUUUUGCGAAUAUUGUAAUUAAUAAAAAUAGCGAAGUGUUGUUAAUUUAUUUUAAACUAUGAUUGUUUUUAUUUCAAUCCCAAAAGAGAAAUCAAAAAGCGCCCGAAGAUAGGCAACAUUUUAACCUGUGAAAUAUUUCCCCAUGCUCGAACUCGGCAAUUCAUGAAAAUCAUGAUUUUGCCAGUUCGACCCACUUUACCAAAAAAAGUGUUAUCCGAGUUGAACUCGAAAAAUCAUGAUAAUUACCAUUUUUUUGGUUUUAUUUGGUAAGCGUGUGCAUCUCAACUGCAUGAUGAAUUUCGGGAAAAGUAUAUAUAUAUAGCUAUAGCUGUUGACCCUUUUGAAGCAAUAGCAAUCCGGUUAGGUUACUGAAAAAAAUCGUCUGAACCUGCAUCGUUUAGCAGACCCUUAUUCACCAAACCAAAUACUCAUUUUCGGCGGAAUCUACAGGGACUUUAUGACCUCGGAGGUUGCUGGCGUUGACGUUGGAGGCCACGGGCGUUGACAAUGGCUGCUGCGGUGUGGCCAGGAGGUCGACGAGGAGGCGAAAACCGACGAAGAGUGAACUGCUGUUGCGAGGCAGCGGCAGGCACGGGAGCCGGGAGCCAGACGGAGCAUCACCGGAUCGAGCCACCGCGGGAAAGAGCAAGAGCGGUCGCACAGGCAGGAGUGUGAGUAAGAAGAAGAUGAGGCCGAGAAAAAUAAUAGGAAGAAAUUAGGUGGGGCAGUAGUGUCGUUGAUAGGAAAAACAGAUUUCUGGUUCCGGACACCGCUCCUAGACAACCAAAACAGUCUUCGUGGUCGCUGGCGGAUAUAAGAGGGCUUGUGGAUUCGGGUCUUUUGCUGACGAAUCAGUCUAGAAGUUAUUUGCAAAAAGUCUGAACACAACUGGUAAAUUCUGAACUUUUUUUUAUAAGGUCCAAUAAGCAAAUGUGAACUUUAAAUGUAUUCCGCUCACACCUUAUGUCGGAGUAAGCUACUUACACUCAAUGUUUACAUUUGCUUAUUGGACCUUAUCCAAAGAUAAGUCCAGAAAAAAACUUGAUUGCGAACAACUCAAACAA